rnacentral:rRNA from 1 species
AGUUUGUUGGUGGGGUAAAAGCCUACCAAGACUAUGACGGGUAGCUGGUCUGAGAGGAUGACCAGCCAGAAUGGGACUGAGACACGGCCCAUACUCCUACGGGAGGCAGCAGUGAGGAAUAUUCCGCAAUGGGGGAAACCCUGACGGAGCGACACCGCGUGAAGGAUGACACCCCUUGGGGCGUAAACUUCUGUUCUGAGGGACGAAAUUUUUGACGGUACCUCAGGAGAAAGCACCGGCUAAUUCCGUGCCAGCAGCCGCGGUAAGACGGAAGGUGCAAGCGUUACUCGGAAUUACUGGGCGUAAAGCGUCCGCAGGCGAUCUUUUAAGUCCGACAUUAAAAUGCGCAGCUCAACUGCGUAGUGUGCCGGAAACUGAGAGAAUUGAGUCACCCAGAGGCAUCUGGAAUGCCAUGUGAAGGGGUCAAAUCCGUUGAUCCAUGGUACGCCAAAAGUGAAGACAAGAUGCUGGGGGUGUACUGACGCUCAGGGACGAAAGCGUGGGGAGCGAAGGGGAUUAGAUACCCCCGUAGUCCACGCCCUAAACUAUGUGUGCUCGGUGUUGGGAGUUCAAUCUUUCCCAGUGCCUCAGCUAACGCGGUAAGCACACCGCCUGAGUAGUACGGCCGCAAGGCUAAAACUUAAAGGAAUAGACGGGGACCCACACAAGCGGUGGAGCAUGGGGUUUAAUUCGAUAAUAAGCGGAGCACCUCACCCAGGCUUGACAUCCCGAGAACGUUUUAGAAAUAAAACAGUGCCGCAAGGAACUCGGUGACAGGUGAUGCACGGUCGUCGUCAGCUCGUGCUUUGAAGUGUACUGUUAAGUCAGCGAACGAGCGCAUCCCUCAUCCUAUGUUGUUUUUUCAUAGGAGACUGCCGCCUCCAAGGCGGAGGAAGGUGAGGAUGACGUCAGAUCUGCGUGUCCCUUAUGCCUGGGGCAACACCCGUGCUACAAUGGCCGGUACAGAGGGCAGCGAACCCGCGAGGGGGAGCCAAUCCCAAAAAACCGGUCUCAGUUCGGAUUGAAGUCUGCAACUCGACUUCAUGAAGUUGGAAUCGCUAGUAACCGUGAAUCAGCUACGUCACGGUGAAUAUGCUCCUGGGUCUUGUACUCACCGCCCGUCAACUCAUGAAAGGCAGGAGCGCCCGAAGGUCUUUUACCCGCAAGGGGGAGAACCACGGUGAGACUGCUGAUUGGGAGUAAGUCGUAACAAGGUAUCCGUAGGAGAACCUGCGGAUG